rnacentral:rRNA from 1 species
GAUGAACGCUGGCGGCGUGCCUAAUACAUGCAAUUCGAGCGAACGGACGAGAAGCUUGCUUCUCUGAUGUUAGCGGCGGACGGGUGAGUAACACGUGGAUAACCUACCUAUAAGACUGGGAUAACUUCGGGAAACCGGAGCUAAUACCGGAUAAUAUUUUGAACCGCAUGGUUCAAAAGUGAAAGACGGUCUUGCUGUCACUUCUAGAUGGAUCCGCGCUGCAUUAGCUAGUUGGUAAGGUAACGGCUUACCAAGGCAACGAUGCAUAGCCGACCUGAGAGGGUGAUCGGCCACACUGGAACUGAGACACGGUCCAGAAUCCUACGGGAGGCAGCAGUAGGGAAUCUUCCGCAAUGGGCGAAAGCCUGACGGAGCAACGCCGCGUGAGUGAUGAAGGUCUUCGGAUCGUAAAACUCUGUUAUUAGGGAAGAACAUAUGUGUAAGUAACUGUGCACAUCUUGACGGUACCUAAUCAGAAAGCCACGGCUAACUACGUG